GAUGAACGCUGGCGGCGUGCUUAACACAUGCAAGUCGAACGGAAAGGCCCAAGCUUGCUUGGGUACUCGAGUGGCGAACGGGUGAGUAACACGUGGGUGAUCUGCCCUGCACUUCGGGAUAAGCCUGCGAAACUGGGUAUAUUACAGGAUAGGACCACUUCGUAGUUGUUGUGGAGGAAAGAUUUUGCGGUGUGUGAUGAGCUCGCGGCCUAUCCGCUUGUCGGUGGGGUAAUGGCCUACCAAGGCGUCGGCGGGUAGCCGGCCGGAGAGGGAGUACGGCCACAUUGGGACGGAGAGACGGCCCAGACUCCUACGGGAGGCAGCAGUGAGGAAUAUUGCACAAUGGGCGGAAGCCUGAUGCAGCGACGCCGCGUGGGGGAUGACGUCCUUCGGGUUGUAAACUCCUUUCGCCAAAGACGAAUUUAGGACGGUAUUUGGAGAAAAAGCACCGGCUAACUACGUG
rnacentral:rRNA from 1 species